AUUGAACGCUGGCGGCAUGCUUUACACAUGCAAGUCGAACGGCAGCACGGGGCAACCUGGUGGCGAGUGGCGAACGGGUGAGUAAUGCAUCGGAACGUGCCAUUGAGUGGGGGAUAACGUAGCGAAAGUUGCGCUAAUACCGCAUAUUCUGUGAGCAGGAAAGCAGGGGACCGCAAGGCCUUGCGCUCUUUGAGCGGCCGAUGUCAGAUUAGCUAGUUGGUGAGGUAACGGCUUACCAAGGCGACGAUCUGUAGCGGGUCUGAGAGGAUGAUCCGCCACACUGGAACUGAGACACGGUCCAGACUCCUACGGGAGGCAGCAGUGGGGAAUUUUGGACAAUGGGCGCAAGCCUGAUCCAGCCAUGCCGCGUGAGUGAAGAA
rnacentral:rRNA from 1 species